UGUCUCUCUACCACAACCCCAGAGGUCAUAUUCUAGUCUGGUCUGUCUCUCAUCAACAACCCCAGAGGUCAUAUUCUAGUCUGGUCUGUCUCUCUACUACAACCCCAGAGGUCAUAUUCUAGUCUGGUCUGUCUCUCUACUUCAGCCCCAGAGGUCAUAUUCUAGUCUGGUCUGUCUCUCUACUACAACCCCAGAGGUCAUAUUCUAGUCUGGUCUGUCUCUCAUCAACAACCCCAGAGGUCAUAUUCUAGUCUGGUCUGUCUCUCUAAUACAACCCCAGAGGUCAUAUUCUAGUCUGGUCUGUCUCUCUACUACAACCCCAGAGGUCAUAUUCUAGUCUGGUCUGUCUCUCUACUACAACCCCAGAGGUCAUAUUCUAGUCUGGUCUGUCUCUGUACUACAACCCCAGAGGUCAUAUUCUAUCCUGGUCUGUCUCUCUACUACAGCCCCAGAGGUCAUAUUCUAGUCUGGUCUGUCUCUCAUCAACAACCCCAGAGGUCAUAUUCUAGUCUGGUCUGUCUCUCUACUACAACCCCAGAGGUCAUAUUCUAGUCUGGUCUGUCUCUCUACUACAACCCCAGAGGUGAUAUUCUAGUCUGGUCUGUCUCUCUACCACAACCCCAGAGGUCAUAUUCUAGUCUGGUCUGUCUCUCUACUACAACCCCAGAGGUCAUAUUCUAGUCUGGUCUGUCUCUCAUCAACAACCCCAGAGGUCAUAUUCUAGUCUGGUCUGUCUCUCUACUACAACCCCAGAGGUCAUAUUCUAGUCUGGUCUGUCUCUCUACUACAACCCCAGAGGUCAUAUUCUAGUCUGGUCUGUCUCUCUACUACAACCCCAGAGGUCAUAUUCUAGUCUGGUCUGUCUCUCUACUACAGCCCCAGAGGUAAUAUUCUAGUCUGGUCUGUCUCUCUACUACA
rnacentral:lncRNA from 1 species